UACGUAGGUGACAAGCGUUGUCCGGAUUUACUGGGCGUAAAGAGCGCGCAGGCGGUCGAUCAAGUCGAGUGUGAAAGCCCCCGGCUCAACUGGGGAGGGUCAUUCGAUACUGAUCGACUCGAAGGCAGGAGAGGGUAGUGGAAUUCCCGGUGUAGCGGUGAAAUGCGUAGAUAUCUGGAGGAACAUCAGUGGCGAAGGCGACACCCUGGACUCAUACUGACACUGAGGUGCGAAAGCGUGGGGAGCAAACAGG
rnacentral:rRNA from 1 species